rnacentral:lncRNA from 1 species
UUGAUAAUAUGAGAUGAGUAUGUUGUUGGGGUUUAGAUUUCACCUAAUCACUUUCGUGCAUAUAAGAAUUCAUCUUCUUCAUUCAAUUUUAAUGUCACUCUUUAAAUUACUUAAAACUCGAUCCCUCCGCGAAGAAAGCCUAUCCUUAAUUACUAAACCACAAUCCCUUGCAUGCCUAAUAAUUAUCUUUACAUUACGAACAGGAGCUUAAGAUAACCAAACCUCAUAUCCC